rnacentral:rRNA from 1 species
AUUGAACGCUGGCGGCAGGCCUAACACAUGCGAGUCGAGCGGAUGAAGGGAGCUUGCUCCUGGAUUCAGCGGCGGACGGGUGAGUAAUGCCUAGGAAUCUGCCUGGUAGUGGGGGAUAACGUCCGGAAACGGGCGCUAAUACCGCAUACGUCCUGAGGGAGAAAGUGGGGGAUCUUCGGACCUCACGCUAUCAGAUGAGCCUAGGUCGGAUUAGCUAGUUGGUGGAGUAAAGGCCUACCAAGGCGACGAUCCGUAACUGGUCUGAGAGGAUGAUCAGUCACACUGGAACUGAGACACGGUCCAGACUCCUACGGGAGGCAGCAGUGGGGAAUAUUGGACAAUGGGCGAAAGCCUGAUCCAGCCAUGCCGCGUGUGUGAAGAAGGUCUUCGGAUUGUAAAGCACUUUAAGUUGGGAGGAAGGGCAGUAAGUUAAUACCUUGCUGUUUUGACGUUACCAACAGAAUAAGCACCGGCUAACUUCGUG